UUAUGGCUCAGGAUGAACGCUAGCUACAGGCUUAACACAUGCAAGUCGAGGGGCAGCAUGGUCUUAGCUUGCUAAGGCUGAUGGCGACCGGCGCACGGGUGAGUAACGCGUAUCCAACCUACCCCAUAGUAGGGCAUAGCCCGUAGAAAUGCGGAUUAAUACCCUAUGUUUUCCGAAGAGGACAUCUGACUUGGAACAAAGAUUCAUCGCUAUGGGAUGGGGAUGCGUCCGAUUAGCUUGUUGGCGGGGUGACGGCCCACCAAGGCGACGAUCGGUAGGGGUUCUGAGAGGAAGGUCCCCCACACUGGUACUGAGACACGGACCAGACUCCUACGGGAGGCAGCAGUGAGGAAUAUUGGUCAAUGGGCGAGAGCCUGAACCAGCCAAGUAGCGUGCAGGAAGACGGCCCUACGGGUUGUAAACUGCUUUUAUCAGGGGAUAAAGUGUGGGACGCGUCCCUCAUUGCAGGUACCUGAUGAAUAAGGACCGGCUAAUUCCGUGCCAGCCGCCGC
rnacentral:rRNA from 1 species